rnacentral:rRNA from 1 species
GAUGAACGCUGGCGGCGUGCCUAAUACAUGCAAGUCGAGCGAAUGGAUUGAGAGCUUGCUCUUAUGAAGUUAGCGGCGGACGGGUGAGUAACACGUGGGUAACCUGCCCAUAAGACUGGGAUAACUCCGGGAAACCGGGGCGAAUACCGGAUAACAUUUUGAAACGCAUGGUUCGAAAUUGAAAGGCGGCUUCGGCUGUCACUUAUGGAUGGACCCGCGUCGCAUUAGCUAGUUGGUGAGGUAACGGCUCACCAAGGCAACGAUGCGUAGCCGAACUGAGAGGGUGAUCGGCCACACUGGGACUGAGACACGGCCCAGACUCCUACGGGAGGCAGCAGUAGGGAAUCUUCCGCAAUGGACGAAAGUCUGACGGAGCAACGCCGCGUGAGUGAUGAAGGCUUUCGGGUCGUAAAACUCUGUUGUUAGGGAAGAACAAGUGCUAGUUGAAUAAGCUGGCACCUUGACGGUACCUAACCAGAAAGCCACGGCUAACUACGUGCCAGCAGCCGCCGUAA